ACAGAGGGUGCGAACGUUGUUCGGAAUUACUGGGCGUAAAGCGCGUGUAGGCGGCGGCGCAAGUCGGAUGUGAAAGCCCACGGCUCAACCGUGGAAGUGCAUUCGAAACUGCGUGGCUAGAGUCCUGGAGAGGAAGGUGGAAUGCUUGGUGUAGAGGUGAAAUUCGUAGAUAUCAAGCGGAACACCGGUGGCGAAGGCGGCCUUCUGGACAGUGACUGACGCUGAGACGCGAAAGCGUGGGGAGCAAACAGG
rnacentral:rRNA from 1 species